rnacentral:rRNA from 1 species
UACGUAGGGGGCGAGCGUUGUCCGGAUUUACUGGGCGUAAAGCGUGCGUAGGUGGUUCGUUAAGUCUGUCGUGAAAGCCCCGGGCUCAACCUGGGAAUGGCGAUGGAUACUGGCGGGCUAGAGUGCGGUAGAGGAGAGUGGAAUUCCCGGUGUAGCAGUGAAAUGCGUAGAGAUCGGGAGGAACAUCAGUUGCGAAGGCGGCUCUCUGGACCAGCACUGACACUGAGGCACGAAAGCGUGGGGAGCAAACAGG